rnacentral:rRNA from 1 species
AUGGUGGUAGUGGCAGAAGUAGCUAUUGGAGUUACAGUGAUGGGGUUCUUCCUAUCGCCUCAUAUCACCAAGCUCAUGGAGGUCGCACGGGACUGGGCAGACGGCAAAGUCACCAACUACAAACUCUCUCAGGGCAACAAGGAUUUGCUGCGGAAACUUGCGCAGGAUCUGGAGGGCAUCAGAUGCUCCCUCAACCCAUCCAGCACGGCCUUUAUCGACGACCAAGUCAAGCUCGACCUCCUGUGGCGGCUCAAGGAUGACAUCCACGACGCCGAGGAGGUUCUCGACCUGUUCGAGCUGGAGAUCAAGGCAGCAGCCGUGAUCAAGAAGAGGAAAAAAAAGACAAAGAAGAAGAAGAAGCGGCACGGCACGCAAUCCAACAAAGGUUGGCUAGCGAUUCAGCUCAAGAAAGUGCUCGACAGUCUAGAGAAGACUCGUGAGAGGACGAGGGAACUCCAUCAAGUGCAGAGCCCCCCCUUCUUGACAAGAGAAGAAACGGGCCCGAUCCCGGUGAGGGACCAGGAGAGCUUCUUCGGGUACCAGGAGGAGUAUGCUCACCUGGUCUCCAUGUUGCAGAAGCAGCCGGAUGGUAACAAAGUGGACAGCAAGGUGAAGCAGGUAAUUGCCAUCGUCGGCCAUGCCGGGAUGGGGAAGACCGAGCUUGCUCGCCAGGUGUUUCGGGCAGCUAAACACAAAUUUGAUCUUGGCAUAUGGGUGCACGCAUAUGGCAAAAACACCGAAUUAGACCUCCUGAAAGAGAUCUGGAAGUCUGGUGCCGGUGAAAAACCGGUCGGCGAGAUGAACGUCGCAUGCCUCCAGAGGGAACUCGAGAAGCUCUUGGCGUCCAAGAGGUGCCUUCUGGUACUGGACGACGUAUGGAACCAUGAAUCGGCGACCAGCGAGCAGAAGAGGAAGCAGGCAUCUUUAGCGUUGGACUCCUUUAAGCGCUUCGCCGAAAAUGGAAGCAGAAUCGUGAUGACGACUCGGGCCAAGAUCUGUUCGGACACGUUCAAAGCUGAUGCAAGCAUCACUCUAGAUGGGAUCAAACCCAAAGAGGUCACAGAUCUGCUCAACCACGCUGUGAUUGAUGGUACUAGUGGUAGUACCAGGAUACAGAAGCUGCUAAACAAUCAAGUGCCCAAGCUGAAGGGAUCGCCGUUGGCAGCCGUAGAGAUCGGUGAGGCGCUCAGGAAACAAACCACAAGUGACAAGAGGUGCGACAUCUUACACAACAUUGAACAUCAUCUGGGCAGCGUAUUGGAGGGCCAUCUGUUCACGUAUCGCCAUCUGCCGCCGCACCUGCAGCGCUGCUUCGAGUUCUGCAGCAUAUUCCCAUACGGUUGGAGUUUCGAGCCUAAGAAAUUGAUGAACAUGUGGAUAGCACAUGGUUUCGUGGAGGACCCUCGGCAGGGUCCGAGCAUGGAAGAUGUCGCCAGGGCCUACUUCGACAGCCUUGUGGAUCGGUCAUUGUUCAGAGAAGUAUGUGAGCCAGGACGCAAAGAACCGACUUAUGUGAUCCACGAGCAGAUCCAUUGGAUGAUACGCGUGGCCUCUGCCAACAACUGCAUGAGCAUCUCUGGCGACAGUACUAGCCAUAGCACAGGCGCAGCCAGGACAAGCAUCCCUACAACGGUUCGCCACUUGUCGGUUACCAGCAGCCGUCUUGAUAAGCUCGAGGAGUACUCCAUAGGACUCAGCAAUCUGCGGACCUUGCUAGUCCUAAAUGAUGGUAAUGACUUGAUCAGUGACACUGACAAAGAUAUGCUCCAACAAUUCAAAGGUGUGAGAGUACUGGAUCUCACGGGGACAGCAAUACCUGAACUUCCAGCAAGUAUUGGCAAGCUGAAACAUGUGAGGUACCUUGGUCUUCCUAUCACCAUCAGCAACAAUCUCGGUGACCAAGUCACCAGGCUACUGUUUCUCCAGACACUGAGUGUGGGCCAGGGCGACGAAGAGAAGAACAGAGACAGAAAAAGACAGUGUAUCACCAACAUAAGCGGAAUAGGAAUGUUGGUUAAACUUCGAGAAUCGAUCGUGUUCGAGGUCAAGAGGGGUUUGGAGAAAGAAGGGCAUAGCGUGUUGGAGCUGGCCAACAUGAACUCCCUACGAGGGACGCUGAGAAUAAUAGGCCUCGACGGUGUCGGGAGCAAGGAAGAAGCCGAGCAGGCUCUACUAGGAAACAAAUCUUCUGUAAAGGUUCUAAAGCUUGAGUGGGGGGCUCCGAGUUUGCGACAACUUGAAGAAGAACCUGCCGCUGGAUGCAACCCCGCGGUGGCCGUCCUGGAAGGCCUCAAGCCUCACAGCCAUCUCCAUCACCUACAUAUCACCAGGUACCCUGGGGAGAAGUCGCCUACCUGGCUGAGUGAACCGGAGAAGAUGCAGAAGCUUACGCGCCUGUACCUCAAGAACUGUAGGAAGCUCAAGGAUCUUCCGGCCGUGGGCCGGCUCCCCUGUCUGGAGCUUCUGGUUAUCAAGGAGCUCACCACCGUCGUGAGGAUCGACAGUGGCUUCUGCGGCGGCGGCGAGUUCCCAAUGCUGAACAAGAUCGUGCUGGACGACAUGGAGGAGCUAGUGGCGUGGGAUGAUAUGCCGAAAAUGGCGUUCCCACUGCUCAGGGACGUAAUCAUCGCGGACUGCCCACGGCUGUCCUCCUUGUCAGCCCUUGGGCGCUGCACAGGUCCACUCAACCUGAGCGUCACGAGGUGCCCGGCCAUCACACAGGUCACCCUGCCCGCAAAUUUUAAUGGUGGCAACUCUAGCUGCAAAUUUUACUAG